CUCUAUCAGAAAAAAAGCCAACAAUUCAGUGAUCAUAAGCAUUCAAGCAACAUGAAGUAUUUAAUCAACACUUGCAUAAAUGCAUCAAAAAGCACUGCGGUACCCCGACAACAGGAGAGGCCUGGCUCAGAAAGGACAAGACUACAAAUCCUGCUAAACAGAAGACAUCUACAAGUUCCGCAUGAUGAGAGACAAGGAGGCUGGUUUGCAAAGGUCAAAGGAGGCAGAGGUAGCAAGCCUGGAGAAGCAGAAAGCCCAGGAGCUCAAAGAAAUCCUAAGAGCAGCACUGAUGAGCUGUGUUGAAGACUCAAAUGGCAGCUGAAAACAAGUGUCUCUGAAUCCAGAGACGUUGAUUGUGGUUCCAAAACAGAUACUUUGAGAUAAAUUCAACUCCUGAUUAAAACAAACAUAUAGAAUCUAGGGUGAAUUUAUAGGCUCAAUGGCAAAUAAUAAUAAUUAAGAAUAGCCAAUACAUAGCAUCUAAUAAUAAGUACUUGGCAUAAAUUAACCAAUUUAGUCUUCACCAUAACUCUGUGAGGCAGUCACCUAAGUGGUCGAGCUGGAGGUGAAGCCCAGCGGUCUGUAGCCUUCACCACUGCAUGCCACUCUCAUUCCCUUUCAGCUUCCCAUCUUCAUUUUUAUUCUAUAUCCCCCUUUCCCUAUUCCACCCCUUCACUCUGAUUUUCCUUCCUAUACAUCAUGAAUGUCAGGUUGGCCAUUCAUGGUGGAACCUGAGCAAAUGAUAGCAAAUAUAUGGAACUUACUCUGAUCCUCCUCCACCCAAUUCGCUUGAGUUGAAAUGAGGAAGGAUUUGCCCUAGCCAGUUUGGCCAUGAGUAGAGUGUCAGCCCACAGGCUGAGGGGUCUUUGGUUCAAAUCUGGUCAAGGGCAUGUACCUCAGUUGCAGGCUCAGUCUCUG